ACACAACCCCCUGUCCGUCAAACGUUCCGUUCAACUAACACACAAACGUACAACCAAAACAUUCCAUACACCCAACCCCAAUACCAAGAGCAUACCCCAUACCACCACCAACAAAUUGACCAUCAACCUGAGACUCAACAUCGCUUCUCACCCACCCCAUCAUCCUACCAAAGUCGCCUAAGCCAGAACACCCAACGAUCAUUCAACACCAACCGCCCCUCCUCCUACCGUAGCCAAGAAGCUCAAACCUCACAAAACCAAAACAUCCAACAACCUUAUCUCU
rnacentral:lncRNA from 1 species